UACCUCAGUGACAUUUAAAAGUGUCAAAUAUUGCUUAUCAACCAAUUGUAUACUAAGGCCAUUAAACUUAAUUUUAGAGAGAAGCUACAAUAAAUUAUUAACCAUUAAAUAUAGGAAUGACAAUGGAGACGAUGAAUGAAGGAGAUAUUGAGAUUUGAAAUUAAGUUGAGAGGCUUGAUGAGCACGAUGUCUUAACGGAAUUUUCGGAAAACGAACAACAAUAACAUUAAAAAAUCAAGAGCGUAAAUUUAUUCCUCGGCGGCCAAUAAGUCUGAUUGACCUAAAUUUUCCCAAAUUGUCCAAAAUUGAAACUCGAAAUACUAAAUUAUUAUAUUAACACAAAUGUGGGGCGUAACGUUGUUUCAUCAAUUUACCGUAUUUCUUGAAUAGGGUCUGUUACAUUGUAUCCAGAAAAUACAUCCGGGAUCAAUUAUUGGUUGAUUUCAGUCUAAAGUGUUUUUAAAGUUCCAACUCGAAACGUAUGAAGUCGCAUAAUCUUUGAGUAUCUGCCCAUUGUUGUAAUAAAAAUAAACCUUCCGUAUACACUCAUUUUUGCCACUAAGCUUAUCAUUAUCGGAAAUAUUUGAGCUUUCUUGAUGAACAUUAUAUCUGCCUGAAUUAAUAACAAACUGAGCGUAGUACUAUAAUGUGCACAUGAUUAUCAAAUCUCUGAAACAGCUUGUUGUUACAAUUUAUAUUUUGUAGUAUUUUGAUAGGUUUUCAAACGGUAAGUGAGACUACUGACUUAAAUUGAUUAACUAUUAAUAGAAAUAAUCAGUUGUUAUGUUGGAUCAAGAGAACAUUUACUCUUUUUCAUGUUUUGGUAUCAUUCUUACCGUAAAACGAAUAUAGGCAAUUAUAGCUGAAUGCCGGUGAGUGAGCGGGGCUUGUAAGAUGUUUGGUCAGUGAAUAUUUACUUGAACUUUUGUCGUAAGUUGAUGUAAUUUCGAUCGUUCUUCGAUUCGACAUUCUACUAUUUUCAGCGUAAUAUUUUCAGGUGUUUCAACGACGUUGAAUGCAGAGUGAUUCUUUGUUAAUGCGUCAUACUCUAACUAGAUAUUCUGUGUCAAAGUCAUGAAAUUUAAUUUAGUCCACCAGGCCCUUGUAAAAUAUUGCAUACGAGUUCCUAUUUCAGAUUCAUUUUUUUUAUUUCAACAAUUAUUAGAUAGUGCUACGCACGGUUUGCUGUAUGGUUAUUUACUAUCAACAUUUUGUAAUUUGUAAUGAAGAGGUCUGACGGAAUUUUGAAUAACAGAAUUGUUAGACUAAUUUAAAGGUAAAAAUGUUUACAUACAGGGUGAUGUGAAAAUGGCGUCAUUCAUCUGGUAGUCUUAUGCUGUCUAGGGAGUACACGAAAAGUAAUAAAAAAAAAAUUCUUAACCCUCCAGCGGGCGCGCCCGCGGCAUAAUGCCGCAUUUUUCAGAUUUUUUGUUAUAAAUACUAUGCAUUAAAACUGACGCCGUCGUUCUUCCAGGUAUUCGUUCCCAAUACAUUUGUCCCUUCAUUCCUAUAUCGAACAGACCCUAUUUCGGUCAGCAUUAGUUGCAGAGUGGCAUUUAGUAAGAGUGUGCAAUUUUUGCCGCUAAUUUGCCGCGGUGCGCCUGGUCAUGUCGAAAAAAAUUGAGUCCGGACGAAUUAAAAAAACCGUUGCCAUAGGUGGUGAGAUAAUUAGAAGAUAAGCAGAAUAAGAUGAAUACAAUAGAACAUUAACGUGAACAGAAGUCACGUAAUAGAUGACGAUUUUGACAGCGAUUCAGACUAGGAGCCAGAAGUUACUGAAAGUAACGUUUAUAGUAGUGAUUCCAAACAAGAAGCAGAUAAAGGAAAAGCAGAAUCUGAACCAAGGGACCAGACAAAGAUUAUCAAUUUUUUAUUGAAAAAAACAAUUAUAUGUACUUCAGAUUUUUAUUUUUAGACUUUUUACAUAUAUAUUUAAUUUUGUUGGCAUUUUUUCAAGUAUUAUAUGCAGAAUUGCAUCUAUUUUU
rnacentral:lncRNA from 1 species